rnacentral:rRNA from 1 species
UACGAAGGGAGCUAGCGUUGUCCGGAAUUAUUGGGCGUAAAGAGCUCGUAGGCGGUCUGUCGCGUCUGCUGUGAAAUCCCGAGGCUCAACCUCGGGUCUGCAGUGGGUACGGGCAGACUGGAGUGCGGUAGGGGAGAAUGGAAUUCCUGGUGUAGCGGUGGAAUGCGCAGAUAUCAGGAGGAACACCGAUGGCGAAGGCAGUUCUCUGGGCCGUAACUGACGCUGAGGAGCGAAAGCGUGGGGAGCGAACAGG